rnacentral:rRNA from 1 species
UGGGGAAUAUUGGGCAAUGGGCGAAGGCCUGACCCAGCGACGCCGCGUGGGUGAUGAAGGCCUUCGGGUUGUAAAGCCCUGUCAUGCGGAAAGAACGACCCUGUGACGCAUACUCACAGGGAGUGACGGUACCGCAGGAGGAAGCACCGGCUAACUCCGUGCCAGCAGCCGCGGUAAUACGGAGGGUGCAAGCGUCGUUCGGAAUUAUUGGGCGUAAAGGGCGCGUAGGCGGUAAUGUAAGUCAGAUGUGAAAUACUCCGGCUCAACCAGAGAACAGCAUCUGAAACUGCAUAACUAGAGUACAGAAGAGGGAAACGGAAUUCCCGGUGUAGAGGUGAAAUUCGUAGAUAUCGGGAGGAACACCAGUGGCGAAGGCGGUUUCCUGGUCUGAUACUGACGCUGAGGCGCGAAAGCGUGGGGAGCAAACAG